UACGGGGGGGGCAAGCGUUGUUCGGAAUUACUGGGCGUAAAGGGCUCGUAGGUGGCCAACUAAGUCAGACGUGAAAUCCCUCGGCUUAACCGGGGAACUGCGUCUGAUACUGGAUGGCUUGAGUUUGGGAGAGGGAUGUGGAAUUCCUGGUGUAGCGGUGAAAUGCGCAGAUAUCAGGAGGAACACCGAUUGCGAAGGCAGCUCGCUGGAACGUUACUGACGCUGAGACGCGAAAGCGUGGGGAGCAAACAGG
rnacentral:rRNA from 1 species